UACGGAGGGUGCAAUCGUUAAUCGGAAUGACUGGGCGUAAAGCGCACGCAGGCGGUCUGUCAAGUCAGAUGUGAAAUCCCCGGGCUCAACCCGGGAACUGCAUUCGAAACUGGCAGACUAGAGUAUUGUAGAGGGGGGUAGAACUCCAGGUGUAGCGGUGAAAUGCGUAGAGAUCUGGAGGAAUACCGGUGGCGAAGGCGGCCCCCUGGACAAAGACUGACGCUCAGGUGCGAAAGCGUGGGGAGCAAACGGG
rnacentral:rRNA from 1 species